rnacentral:rRNA from 1 species
AAACCUUUUGACCUCAGGUCAAGCA